CAUCAAGUUUUCACAAUCAAAUAUAUUUUACUAAAGUACGCAGCAGAAAAUUUAUAUAAAAUAAUGUAUAAGGGCAAGUGUAAUGUUCAUCCUAGGGUCACGGAAGAUGUUGUUCAUCUACGUCACAUACCAGAACCUCCGAAAUGCAAAAUCAACUAGUCUUAGACGUAAAAAUUCUUUAAUACAGCAGAGUGAGCAGCGCCGUACCUCUUUACCCAUUUAUACUAUACGAAAGGAAGCCCAAACCACAUGGCUAAAUACUGCCACUGAAGUUAUUGGCAUUGAAAACAAAUAUAUCAACGAAAUGGGCAUGGAUAUCAAUAAUUUUUUUAAUCCCAAUUUUAAGAAAGUCAAUCAACAUAAAUCCACUAAAAACGAAGCAGACGUUAAAUUGCAGUGUGUCAAGAAAACAAUAGAACCCAUGGAACGAGUCAGUGUCAAGAAUGUCUUUAAGGUUAUCGAACUACAAAGUGGACUUAGCACCGCAAAUAAGGUAAUGGAUCGUCUAUCGUACUCUGAUAUGAAAUCACGUAGAAUUGGCAAAUCGGGAAGUGCAAAGCUAUUUUGUAAUGAAAAUGUCAAAAUGAUUGACUAUAACGAAUUGAAAAAUAUUAAGUGCUCACGCGUAGUCAAACUGUAAUAAAAUAUAGAAUCACCAAGAAAAAAUCAACAGAGGAUCAAAUGCGAAUAUGCGAAUUCCGUAGAUAAAACGACGAAAGUAUUCACAGAUGUAUUGAAAGAAAAUCAGACCCAUAGUGAGCCAUUUCAGAAAACGGAAUGUAGUAAUCUUCCAGUUAUAGAGGAAAUAGAGGAGACACCAGAUUUGAUUGAACAAAAUAGUCCCACUAAAGAUCGGCAAGAUACAUUUGAUGAAUGGUAUAAAAAACAUAUUGAGAAAUCGUGUAAUGAGAUCUAUGAACUAAAACAAAAAUUACAGGAGAAAUCCAAAAAGCAAGAGAAACCAUUGUCAGCUGUUUUACCAAAAUCUAAUCGAAGCUUUCAAAUGAGGAAGAAACAUUAUCGCUUGCCUAAAGCCAUGCGUGCCAAAAUCAUCUAUUAACCCGAAAAAACUGAAAAAAUCGAGAUAAAUAUUAAUGAUUUAGUUUUUCCCGAACCCGAAUAUCUGUCAAGUUUAGUUCCCUACCAUUUGGAAACAGCAAUAGACAUGAACAUUGACCCGGAAUCGUCGAUGCGUACAGGGCUCAAGGUUUGCGUCGCGAGUAUGAGAAACUUUUACUAAUUGAAAAGUACUUGAACGCUUUACCAAAUCGUCUUAAUGAUAUUCAAGCCGAGUUUGCUAAGACAAUAUGCGAAUUUCCUAGUAACCAGCUUGAGGAGAUAAACAAAUGUCCUUGCGGUGUGCCACUGACACACUGCAGGACCAUAAUGCCUAGACCCAAAUGGAUUAACGAAUCGGACUCAGCAAAUGGCUAAUGGCUACGCCCCCAGCAGUUUUAAUCUCGAUAUUUAUCAUAUGCAUUUUCAGCAUUUGUGUGCUGUCCAAUGGAACACAUAGACCAAUGACCACGUGGGAGUAUAUGAUGAAUGCUUUUCAUCAGCCAUUUAAAAAGUCCACAAAAAAGUUUUCUUCGAAUUUCUUUUAAUAGUAGUUUUGUCAAAUUUUUGUUACAUAUUUUUUUUAAAGGAUUUUAAAAAUGAACUGCCAAGUAAAAACAAGCCUUCAAAAUAA